rnacentral:lncRNA from 1 species
UCACGUAACUCGUCAAGACAGAAAAUUACUACGUAUGUGAGAAUGUAUAUAGAAAAAAUGUCAUGUUGAAAUAAAUAAAAGUGUAGAUAGUUUACCUAGUCUUUGAUCUAUUUAAAUAGUAGAAAAUUCUUUCAACAAUCAUAAUUUAUAUCCCCAAAUUAUAGUCUAAGUAUCAAUACUUGGAUUCGUACCCUCAAAUCAAAAAAUUAAGAUCCUGAAGGAUCAGACUUCCAAAUUCACAUUGAUAUCGGACACCCAUACCCAAAUGCGAUCAACUUAGGUUGAAAGCAAAAGAGUUCUGCCCUAAUGUAUCUUGCAGACUACAAGAAAAACUUUGUAGUUC